AUCGUCAACUUCAUGAACUUGUUAGACUUUUGGAACUUUUUAUGAUGUAACGACAAGAGAGAAGAAAACUGACAUUAAAGGAGAACCAGUAAGAUGUAUGAUGAAUCAAGAUGUGAUCAUGUGGGUCCUGUUCUGUGGAUGCCAUGAGAUGAUCUGUCUGUCCAUCUGAUAUCACUUGUCCUG